UACGUAGGCCGCGAGCGUUAUCCGGAAUUAUUGGGCGUAAAGAGCUUGUAGGCGGCUUGUCGCGACUGCUGUGAAAGCCCGGGGCUUAACUCCGGGUGUGCAGUGGGUACGGGCAGACUAGAGUGCAGUAGGGGAGACCGGAAUUCCUGGUGUAGCGGUGAAAUGCGCAGAUAUCAGGAGGAACACCGAUGGCGAAGGCAGGUCUCUGGGCUGUUACUGACGCUGACGAGCGAAAGCCGGGGGAGCGAACAGG
rnacentral:misc_RNA from 1 species